GGGUCAGUACUUUCCAUGAGGCUCCUUCCUGGACCCCAGAUUGAGCAUAACUUCCUAUCACAUGCCGCCUGCAGUUUGUCCUCCUGAGGACGGCGGAACACACCCUGACCUCCACCUACUUCUCCCACUUCACCUUCUGCCAUCUUCCUUGCAAGUCCCCUGUGGGGCUCCAGGCACACUUGACUCACCAGUUCCUGAAUGUGGCACGUUCUUUCACAUGCUGUCAUUCCCUUCCCUGCAAAGCCUGGCCUUCUUUCUCCAUCUUUCUAUGCUCAUCUUCAGCAAUUAGCAAACUGUCAUGUCUUCCAUGGGAGCUUCUCUGGUUCCAUUUCCAGUCACAUUCCAAACAUGAAUGAUGUAUUUCUGGAGGUAGAUCCAAGUGUAUCCAAGAUCCAAGUGUAUUUCUGGUGUAGAUCCACCACAUAGUGCUGAGGACGUUAGGCUGCUUAAUCUAUGCUUCCCUUUCCUCAGUCAUAUAAUGGAGAUAAGAAUACUAGCACCUAUAAAAUUAUGGUGAUAAAACGACUAGAAAGUUUUCUGUAAACACAUAGUAACUCAACAAGUUUUUUUAUUUUUUUUGUACCAGGGAUUGCACCCAGGGGUCUUUAAUCAUCAAGCCACAUCUCUAGCCCAUUUUAUUUUAUAUUUUGAGACAGAGUCUUGCUAAAUUGCUUAGGGCUUGCUAAGUUGUUGAGACUGGCUUUGAAUUUGCAAUCCUCCUGCCUCCAUCUCCCAAGCUACUGGGAUUAUAGGCAUGCAACUACCAUGUCCAGCCUCAGUGUUUUUAAAAAUUUGAAUAUCACAGCUGGGUACAAUGGCGCAUGCCUGUAAUCCCAGCAGUGCGGGAGACUGAGGCAGGAGGAUCUCAAGUUCAA
rnacentral:lncRNA from 1 species